rnacentral:lncRNA from 1 species
AACGACCGAAAAAUACAACCAAUUUUAAAUUUUUCAAAAACAGCUCGAUUCCAUUAAAUCCUUACAAAAAGGUUUUCAAUACAAAACAUUUAACGUAUUCCUAGAAUCACAUUACUACAAAAUCAUGAGGAGCGGUACGAUCACGCCUUCGCCUUGCCAUGGUCUCCUGAAGAACCUGAAAAAUAUAAAACCACAACUGUAAGCCCGAAAGCUUAGUGAGAUAUCCCCAAAAUACCAACCACAUAUACCAUACACGCAUAACAUGCCAUAACUUAUCAGAUCACAGAACAACCAUGCACUUCGGGUCUACGGUGUGACUGGUCCGCCGCACCGGCCUACAGUCCACCUGGUCCACCCUCUGAGUCUAUCCACAUACAUCGAGUCUGCAGUGUGAUUGGUCCGCCCUGCUCCCGGGCCUUCAAUCCACCUGGUCUACUCUCUGAGUCUACAGUAUGACUGAUCCGCCCGCACCGGGCCUUCAAUCGGUCUGGUCCACUCUCCGAGCUUUCGGCACGUCUGGUCCGCCCUUUCGGGGCCUCCAGCCUAUCCGGACCACUCGCUGGGCCUUCGGAACAACCGGUCCUCCCUGGGUAUCUUGGCCUACAACACAUAGUAGGACCCGCCUCAACCCAACUCCAGUCCAAACAACCAUGUGCACAUAUACAUACAAUCAUUUAGAAAUUCACAGUCAACAAGCAGAUCAAAUAGAUCACAUAACAUAUCCUCAUCCUAACCAGGAUACCGACCUAACAGGUCACUAGCAUAGCAUCUCCCUAUCUCUCAGGAUACCGAUCUCAAUCAGGUCUCUAACAUAUACCAUCCUAACUACCAGGAUGCAAUCAUAUCACAGCAACAACAUAACAACAAGUACCCGGAUCUCAAUCCGAUAAAGGGCCGACCUUGGUGCCUUAGACCCUGUUGAUAUAGUGAGGAUAACUCACCUCGAAACUGCCGACUGAACAGAUAACCCAAGCUGCUCCGAUCACUGAUACGAUAACCACCACUGGACAACCACCAAUGCACUGAACUCAACACAAUAAUCAACAAUUACCAAAAUGCCCCCGGAAACCACUGGUCAACCCUUGGUCAAAGACAAGGUCAAAGUCAACCCCUGACUGACUCUACUCGCCGAGUCAACCCGAGACUCGCCGAGUCACCCCGAGACUCGCCGAGUCCAACAACUCUGAGUCCACUCGCACACAACUCACCGAGUCAUCCCACGACUCACUGAUUCUCGAUUCAACCAGAAAAUAUUGGGACUCUUCGACAAGACUCGCCGAGUCCAAGAACAGACUCGCCGAGUCUAAGGCUAUCUUCAACCUACUCGCCGAGUUGUUCAUACAACUCGCCGAGUUCCAGGCCAUCUUCAUCCAACUCGCCGAGCUGUUCUUCCAACUCGUCGAGUCCUAGCUCAUCUUCAAGCAACUCGUCGAGUCCGCCCAUGUGACUCGCCGAGUACCACCGGUCUGAAUCCAUACAGAAGCAUUCCAGGCCAUGAAAAUGAUCCAAAACAUAGAUCUAGCCUCCUAUAAUCCAUCCAUCACGUAAAGUGGCAUACUUUACGUGAAUCCAAGGAGAUCUAGGCCUUUUACACCUUAGGGCUAGGGUUUGGGACAUGGUAGCUUCACUACACACUCAAACACAGGGAAUUUCAGGCAUUCCAACCCUUCUCCAUUCCAGAUCUGAGGUAGCAACCUCAGAUCUAACCUCUAAACUCCAAAACACCAAAAGAUAUGAUCUCUAACACCCACAAAAUGAAGAAUCUAGACAAUAGCAGCUCAAACAAUGGAAAGAUACCUCAAAAGGAAGCUCCAAGAGAAGAUUAUCCCAAAUCCUUGCAAAGCCCUUUGAUCCAAGCCUCUUCUUCUCUAAGAUCUCUUCAACAACCACCUCUCUAAGCUCCAAUUUGCUCAACAAUGGGGUUUCUCCACGAAAUUAGGGUUUCUGGGACUCAAGGGGUGAUAAGGAGGCUGGGGAGGAAACAUAAUGUUCUUUAUAUAGGGCUCAACCCCGAGAAGUAGGGUUUUCUCCAAUCUACACCUACUCGCCGAGUCCAUCUCACUGACUUGCCGAGUCGGCUACUUAAUCACGCGACCAAGUCGCGACUCUACUCGCCGAGUCCAUCCAUGGACUCGCCGAGUCGCUCUUUCCUAAUUUACUCUUUUAGCCCUUCAACUCUACUCUUGACAUUUUGGGAUGUUACAAUUCUCCCCCACUUAAAUUAGGCUUCGUCCUCGAAGCCUACAGCAACUCAACUCCAAAGAUACGCCCACAACGCGCCACCUGGCCUUAACCGGACCAGGUCCCUCAAGGCAUACCCAUCGAAACUCAAACUCACUUUCUCUUUCCUUACGGUGUCCUGACCACCGUCUCGAGCCAGGCACCGGCUGCACCCUCUGAUAAUCACACUCAACAACCGAGAAUUACCCAAGAUGCAUCACUGCUCCAAAUCUCAACAAUCAGUUGACCCAUAUGGGCUAGAAAACCAUGAACCAUCAGCUCCCCGAUCCGAAUCCCACUCUAUCCAUCCCAUGAUGACGGAAAGACCCAUUCUUCAAUCUCAGAGCAACUCCCACGAGUUCUCCUCUUGCAAUCACAUACACAUGCUGAACUAGCUCUAGCAUCCUCAGGUCGGGAAAACCCGAUGCACUGAUGAUAUCCUCAAACAUCCCCCAGGAUGAACCACUAAUACAUACCCAAAACCCUGAUCAGGAUCACACUGAGAGCCCAAGACUCUCUCCCUGCAUCUCUUCCGAGCCUCUUGGCUCUACACCUGCAGAAUUCCCAUUGCAAUCACAUACACAUGCUGAACUAGCUCUAGCAUCCUCAGGUCGGGAAAACCCGAUGCACUGAUGAUAUCCUCAAACAUCCCCCAGGAUGAACCACUAAUACAUACCCAAAACCCUGAUCAGGAUCACACUGAGAGCCCAAGACUCUCUCCCUGCAUCUCUUCCGAGCCUCUUGGCUCUACACCUGCAGAAUUCCCACCGCGACCUCAGCAGACAUCCCAAACCGGAUGAGCUUCUAUUCCACUGCCGCAAACAUGCUGCUCAAUAACCAUACUCGAAUUACACUACUCAUAACUCUGCUCUGCCGCUUUCACUUCCGUGAACUUGCACUCCCUCUCGGAGUUACACACCUCUCUCUUUUCCUUUUCCAAGGAAUCCACUUGGCCACAUUGUCACUCCGACAAGUGUCACGGUGCUCGCCCAACGCUGCACCACCCUUUUUUAGCGUAUCCGCUAUCCAUCCAACACACAUACUCUGACUCUCAUCGCAGGGACUCUCAACUAAUCAAGAUCCCUACUCGGGGCCAGACCUUCUAAAGCAAUCAUACUGCAACAUACACAAUCCAUAUCCUCGAACCGAUCCAACAAUACCUGCAGAGUCUUCAGCAUGACUGGACCGCCUCACCAGGCCUUCAGCCCAUCUGGACCACUCUCAGAACCUUCAGCCAAUCUGGACCGCUCUCAUUGCCUUCAGUUUGGCUGGACCGUUCUCCGAGCCUUCGGCCUGACUGGUACGCCUACCGGCCUUCAGUCUAUCCGGACCGCUAAACUAGCAUUCAUCAUUCCGAGCUAUCACUCCCGGGAAUCCUCCUAUGCGUACUGUUCUAGCCCUUUAAGGGUUCCGAACUCUGUCUCAAUCACACAUGCUCCAUCCCGGCCUGCUCCCAGGCCCUCCAUAAACAAAUACCCUAGGUCUGUAUCUCGCCCCGCAUGCCCAACACUUGCUUCUAUCAGCCUAUACUCUGGGCUGACAGAACACUUGUUGAAUCCCAACAGCUAAGCACCCUAAAAUACUCAUCGAUCUCCCGGAGAAUUCUCCAAUUCUCCCCCACUUGUAGUACUGAUUAACCACCAUCAUUCGCCAUCACCGACCUCCCAGAACAACUCUACACAAGGAAAACACUUACACGCGGACUACUUCCCACAGGCAUAAACAACCUUAACGAGAACUCACAUCAACACUGAUUAACCCGCUCGAAAGAAACUCAAACUGCAUCUAACCACUCCUCAGAAAGCCGAUGCUACCCGACCUUCAAACCCAAUGCUAGGUUCCCACUGAUAACUCUCACGGAUGAUAACCAACGAAAUUCCCAAAACAAUAACCCAUAACCAAACCACAACCCGCAAAACGAUGAAUACCGCAUCGGAAACCACACUAGAUACCAGCACAUAAACAAUACACCACGAUAAUCACAAGAUAAAAAGACAUCAAGAAAGAAACAUACCCGCAGCUGCAUCUGGCACUGCCCUGGCCUCCUCUGCUACAAGCUGAAAAGCACGACCCUGAGCCCUUGGGGGCUCCGCUCCAUCCUGACCUCCACCUGUAAUCCUCAAAGUGGCCGGUGCUAGAGCCUGCACCGGUCCUGCAGCAAGCUGUGGACAGUUGACCCUUAAAUUUCCAACCUGAUGACGAUGAUAACAAAUCCUCAAAUCCCGAACCGGCGCUGACUGCCGACAAUCCCUCGCAUAGUGCCCCUCCCUUCUGCACUUGCGGCAUGCACCACCGGACCUACAAACUCCGGUGUGACCCCUCCCACACUUCCCACAAGUGUGGCUGCUCAGAUCCCCCACUCUAACAUCAACGGUCUUGGACCGUUUCGGUGCCGGCUGUGACUGCACCGGAGCCUGCCUCAGCUCACGCAACUGCAACUCAAUCUCUAACUCACGCCGCCUAGCGGCCUCCUGCAACUCCAACAAUGUCCCGCACCUCUGCGCAGACACAAACUUCCUGAUGUCCCUCUUAAGCAUACUCAGAUAUCGGGACAUCUGAGCGUGCUCCGAAGCGAACUCAGGGCAAAAUAUCGCCCUUUUAGUGAACAUCCUGGUGAUCUCAGUCACCGACUCCGAAUCCUGCUUCAGCUCAAGGAACUCCUGAGCCAAUCUCUCCCUCUCAACUUGCGGAACAUAACGAGUGCUGAACAUCUCUCUGAACUGAUCCCAUGAUACCGCAGCCCUCUGCGCAUCUGAAUAUGACCUCGUGGUCAAUCUCCACCAAUCCUUCGCCCCGAGCCUCAACAGGUUCAGAGCACACCUCACCCUCUGAUCAGUAGGGCAUAAACACGUGAAGAAACACCCCUCCACGUCUGAUAACCAUCUCAUAGCNNNNNNNNNNNNNNNNNNNNNNNNNNNNNNNNNNNNNNNNNNNNNNNNNNNNNNNNNNNNNNNNNNNNNNNNNNNNNNNNNNNNNNNNNNNNNUGUAGCCGCCGCGGCAGCCGUCUCUGUGAGAGCUGCAUAGCGCUCAUCAAAAUACUCAACCAUGGCGGUCUUGAUCGACCCAAACAGCUCCGGCAACUCAGCCCGGAACAACUCAGCAAUCUCAUCACGCAGGAUCUCACGAAUCCUCGCAUCCAACUCGCACGUGCUCAUCUGACCGAUAACCUCGGGCGGUACCGAUCCGGCCGGAACUCUCUCUCCUGCUCCCGAUCCUGAUCCGGAUCCGCUCUCAUCAUGCCUCGGAAUCUCCAUACUGAAAACACCACACAAAAUCUCAGACUCUUCCUACUAUCCUGGGAUCCAACUCUCUCCCAACCCAACCCUAGAGAUCAUGGGUUCCCUGAUACGCGUAUGGGUCCUGUGCUUUCAGUAGUACGGGCCCAUACUACCUUCCACACCUACCCAUAUUUGUAUGAAGUACUACCACAACACCCUAGAGAAACAUAACGCUCAACCCUCACCACUAGAGGAACACUGAAAAUCUCCCAUAAGGAACCCUAGGCUACAGGCAUCACAAAUCAGGCAACAUUAUCAUGAAAUCCUGAAGAUCCCUACCCUAUCACUAGCAUGCUGUUCUAACAAAGCUCAAAAACAAAUCUCAUGUAUGGUAUUUUGGGGUUACUUACUGGCUCCGGCUGAUCGUACCUCCGCGUCCUCCCUUACUCAUUUUGAAAACCAUUUUAAGUACUCAUUUGAAAACUCUCCUCGAUUUGAGACUGGAGUCACACGAAUGUUCCUCCAAUUCACUCAAACCAAGGCUCUGAUACCAACUUGUAACGACCGAAAAAUACAACCAAUUUUAAAUUUUUCAAAAACAGCUCGAUUCCAUUAAAUCUUUACAAAAAGGUUUUCAAUACAAAACAUUUAACGUAUUCCCAGAAUCACAUUACUACAAAAUCAUGAGGAGCGGUACGAUCACGCCUUCGCCUUGCCACGGUCUCCUGAAGAACCUGAAAAACAUAAAACCACAACUGUAAGCCCGAAAGCUUAGUGAGAUAUCCCCAAAAUACCAACCACAUAUACCAUAC